UAACACGUGGGUAACCUGCCUUAUAGUGGGGGAUAGCCUUUCGAAAGGAAGAUUAAUACCGCAUAAGAUUGUAGUAUCGCAUGAUAUAGCAAUUAAAGGAGCAAUUCGCUAUAAGAUGACCCGCGUCGCAUUAGCUAGUUGGUGAGGUAAUGGCUCACCAAGGCGACGAUGCGUAGCCGACCUGAGAGGGUGAUCGGCCACAUUGGGACUGAGACACGGCCCAGACUCCUACGGGAGGCAGCAUG
rnacentral:rRNA from 1 species